UACGUAGGGUGCAAGCGUUAAUCGGAAUUACUGGGCGUAAAGCGUGCGCAGGCGGUUAUGUAAGACAGUUGUGAAAUCCCCGGGCUCAACCUGGGAACUGCAUCUGUGACUGCAUAGCUAGAGUACGGUAGAGGGGGAUGGAAUUCCGCGUGUAGCAGUGAAAUGCGUAGAUAUGCGGAGGAACACCAACGGCGAAAGCACUCUGCUGGGCCGACACUGACACUGAGAGACGAAAGCUAGGGGAGCGAAUGGG
rnacentral:rRNA from 1 species